rnacentral:rRNA from 1 species
GACGAACGCUGGCGGCGUGCUUAACACAUGCAAGUCGAACGGAAAGGCCCUGCUUUUGUGGGGUGCUCGAGUGGCGAACGGGUGAGUAACACGUGAGUAACCUGCCCUUGACUUUGGGAUAACUUCAGGAAACUGGGGCUAAUACCGGAUAGGAGCUCCUGCUGCAUGGUGGGGGUUGGAAAGUUUCGGCGGUUGGGGAUGGACUCGCGGCUUAUCAGCUUGUUGGUGGGGUAGUGGCUUACCAAGGCUUUGACGGGUAGCCGGCCUGAGAGGGUGACCGGCCACAUUGGGACUGAGAUACGGCCCAGACUCCUACGGGAGGCAGCAGUGGGGAAUAUUGCACAAUGGGCGGAAGCCUGAUGCAGCAACGCCGCGUGCGGGAUGACGGCCUUCGGGUCGUAAACCGCUUUCGCCUGUGACGAAGCGUGAGUGACGGUAAUGGGUAAAGAGGCACCGGCUAACUACGUG